AGGACACAGAUGGAUUCAUGACAAAAUUGUGUUUUGGUGAUGGUGAUGUGUUUUUAGAUCUUACUUUACUUAACAUUCUUGCUGCUUACAAUUAUCUCUAUCUAUAAUGAACUUGGCCUAGUAGUUUCAGUGGUAAAUGUUAGUGAAAAUCUACAAAUUUUAUGAAAAUUGUUAAAAAUUGACUAUGAAGGGCAAUAACUCCUUAGGGGGUCAAUUGACAUUUUGGUUGUGUUGAUUUAUUUUUAGGUCUUACUUUGCUGCACAUUAUUGCUGUUUACAGUUUAUCUCUAUCUAUUAUAGUAUUCAAGGUAAUAACCAAAAACAGCAAAAUUUCCUUAAAAUUACCAAUUCAAGGGCAGCAACCUAACAAUUAGUUAUCCGAUUCAUCUGAAAAUUCCAGGGCAGAUAGAUCUUUACCUAAUAAACA
rnacentral:lncRNA from 1 species